CCUACGGGAGGCAGCAGUAGGGAAUAUUGCUCAAUGGGGGAAACCCUGAAGCAGCAACGCCGCGUGGAGGAUGAAGGUUUUAGGAUUGUAAACUCCUUUUGUGAGAGAAGAUAAUGACGGUAUCUCACGAAUAAGCACCGGCUAACUCCGUGCCAGCAGCCGCGGUAAUACGGAGGGUGCAAGCGUUACUCGGAAUCACUGGGCGUAAAGAGUGCGCAGGCGGGCUUGUAAGUCAGAUGUGAAAUCCUGUAGCUUAACUACAGAACUGCAUUUGAAACUAUGAGUCUAGAGUGUGGGAGCGGUAGGUGGAAUUCUUGGUGUAGGGGUAAAAUGCGUAGAUAUCAAGAGGAAUACUCAUUGCGAAGGCGACCUGCUGGAACAUUACUGACGCUCAUGCACGAAAGCGUGGGGAGCAAACAGGAUUAGAUACCCCGGUAGUC
rnacentral:rRNA from 1 species